UACGUAGGGGCAAGCGUUGUCCGGAAUCAUUGGGCGUAAAGAGCGUGUAGGCGGCUUGGUAAGUCCGCUGUGAAAGUCCAGGGCUCAACCCUGGAAAGCCAGUGGAAACUGCCAAGCUAGAGUACGGAAGAGGCGAGUGGAAUCCUGGUGUAGCGGUGGAAUGCGCAGAUAUCAGGAGGAACACCAAUAGCGAAGGCAGCUCGCUGGGACGUUACUGACACUGAGGCGCGAAAGCGUGGGGAGCGAACAGG
rnacentral:rRNA from 1 species